rnacentral:rRNA from 1 species
UACGUAGGGGGCAAGCGUUGUCCGGAUUUAUUGGGCGUAAAGAGCGUGUAGGCGGCCAGGUAGGUCCGUUGUGAAAACUCGAGGCUCAACCUCGAGACGCCGAUGGAAACCACCUGGCUAGAGUCCGGAAGAGGAGAGUGGAAUUCCCGGUGUAGCGGUGAAAUGCGCAGAUAUCGGGAAGAACACCAGAGGCGAAGGCGGCUCGCUGGACAGUUACUGACACUCAACUACGAAAGCGUGGGGAGCAAACAGG